CAUGCCCCUUAUACGCUGGGCUACACACGUGCUACAAUGGGUAGAACAGAGAGUCGCAAAGCUGUGAAGUGGAGCUAAUCUCAGAAAACUAUUCUUAGUUCGGAUUGUACUCUGCAACUCGAGUACAUGAAGUUGGAAUCGCUAGUAAUCGCGAAUCAGCAAUGUCGCGGUGAAUACGUUCUCGGGUCUUGUACACACCGCCCGUCACACCACGAGAGUUGGUUGCACCUGAAGUAGCAGGCCUAACCGUAAGGAGGGAUGCUCCGAGGGUGUGAUUAGCGAUUGGGGUGAAGUCGUAACAAGGUAUCCGUACGGGAACGUGCGGAUGGAUCACCUCCUUUCUAAGGAGUAUAAGUCUUUCUCUAUUCUAUUGGUAAUGUUCUUACAUUACUUCUGAACAUUGGAAACUAUAUAGUAGAACAAACAGGAAAAAAAUUAACUCUAACAAUUUCUUAGAGUUAGCUGUCAAAAAAUAGGUUAAAAUAAUUAAGGGCACACAAAGGAUGCCUAGGUAGUAAGAGCCGAUGAAGGACGUGGUAAGCUGCG
rnacentral:sRNA from 1 species